UACCGCAUAGUAUCUGUGGAUUAAAGGUGGCUUUUGGGCUGUCGCAGAUGGAUGAGCCUGCGUUGGAUUAGCUAGUUGGUGGGGUAAGGGCCUACCAAGGCUACGAUCCAUAGCUGAUUUGAGAGGAUGAUCAGCCACAUUGGGACUGAGACACGGCCCAAACUCCUACGGGAGGCAGCAGUGAGGAAUAUUGGACAAUGGGGGCAACCCUGAUCCAGCAAUGCCAUGUGUGUGAAGAAGGCCUUAGGGUUGUAAAGCACUUUAGUUGGGGAAGAAAGCUUUGAGGUUAAUAGCCUUGAGGAAGGACGUUACCCAAAGAAUAAGCACCGGCUAACUCCGUGCCAGCAGCCGCGGUAAUACGGGGGGUGCAAGCGUUAAUCGGAAUUACUGGGCGUAAAGAGUCUGUAGGUGGUUUGUUAAGUCAGAUGUGAAAGCCCAGGGCUCAACCUUGGAACUGCAUUUGAUACUGGCAAACUAGAGUACGGUAGAGGAAUGGGGAAUUUCUGGUGUAGCGGUGAAAUGCGUAGAGAUCAGAAGGAACACCAAUGGCGAAGGCAACAUUCUGGACCGAUACUGACACUGAGGGACGAAAGCGUGGGGAUCAAACAGGAUUAGAUACCCUGGUAGUCCACGCUGUAAACGAUGAGUACUAGCUGUUGGAGUCGGUGUAAAGGCUCUAGUGGCGCAGCUAACGCGAUAAGUACUCCGCCUGGGGACUACGGCCGCAAGGCUAAAACUCAAAGGAAUUGACGGGGACCCGCACAAGCGGUGGAGCAUGUGGUUUAAUUCGAUGCAACGCGAAGAACCUUACCUGGUCUUGACAUCCUGCGAACUUUCUAGAGAUAGAUUGGUGCCUUCGGGAACGCAGUGACAGGU
rnacentral:rRNA from 1 species